AGGUGCUGGAGGAAGACCAAGGAAGCACAACACGGGUAGCAGGAGGAGGAAUUUAUAAGCAUCAUUUAAAGCCUUGUGAUGAGCUACAUACUUGACACACAAAAGUUUAAAGAAUUCAGUGCUAACAAACCUGCACUACAAGAAGUGUUAAAGAAAUUCCUGAAGGCAGAAGAAAAUGACACCAGAUGGAAUUCUGAGUGGACAGAAAAGAAUAAAGCAUAUGUGAGAUGGUAUUAUUUGGAUACAUACACAGAAAGAAGAAAGACCACACAAUUGUACUCUUCAACAGGCAAGAUUGCCUGUCUCCAACUCCUGCUGAAUCUAAUCGUGCUGGACAUUGGGAAGAAAGCUUGCCAGGGAUAGAGCUCAGUGGUGCAGCACCUGCCUGGCAAGUGUUAGGUCGUGAAUUUGACUCCUGGAAUGGAGGCACUCAACAACUGAAUUUGACUUCCUACCACACACAAAACAAGAAAUGGUUAAUUAUUAUAUUUAUAACAGUUAAUGUUUAAUUGUUUGAUCAGUCUUCAUUCCU